rnacentral:rRNA from 1 species
ACGACUCUCGACAACGGAUAUCUCGGCUCUCGCAUCGAUGAAGAACGUAUCGAAAUGCGAUACUUGGUGUGAAUUGCAGAAUCCCGUGAACCAUCGAGUCUUUGAACGCAAGUUGCGCCCGAAACCAUUAUGUUGAGGGCACGUCUGCCUGGRUGUCACGU